rnacentral:rRNA from 1 species
CCUACGGGCGGCAGCAGUGAGGAAUAUUGGUCAAUGGACGCAAGUCUGAACCAGCCAUGCCGCGUGCAGGAAGACGGCUCUAUGAGUUGUAAACUGCUUUUGUACGAGGGUAAACGCAAAUACGCGUAUCUUUCUGGAAGUAUCUUACGAAUAAGGGUCGGAUAACUCCGUGCCAGCAGCCGCGGUAAUACGGAGGAUUCAAGCGUUAUCCGGAUUUGUUGGGUUUAAGGGGUGCGUCGGCGGUCGGAUAAGUUAGAGGUGAAAUCCCGAGGCUCAACCUCGGAAUUGCCUCCGAUACUGGUAGGCUAGAGAGUAGUUGCGGUAGGCAGAAUGUAUGGUGUAGCGGUGAAAUGCUUAGAGAUCAGACAGAACACCGAUUGCGAAGGCAGCUUACCAAGCUACGUCUGACGUUGAGGCACGAAAGCGUGGGGAGCAAACAGGAUUAGAUACCCCAGUAGUC